AGUGAACGCUGGCGGUAGGCCUAACACAUGCAAGUCGAACGGCAGCACAGUAAGAGCUUGCUCUUACGGGUGGCGAGUGGCGGACGGGUGAGGAAUACAUCGGAAUCUACUUUUUCGUGGGGGAUAACGUAGGGAAACUUACGCUAAUACCGCAUACGACCUACGGGUGAAAGCAGGGGAUCUUCGGACCUUGCGCGAUUGAAUGAGCCGAUGUCGGAUUAGCUAGUUGGCGGGGUAAAGGCCCACCAAGGCGACGAUCCGUAGCUGGUCUGAGAGGAUGAACCGCCACACUGGAACUGAGACACGGUCCAGACUCCUACGGGAGGCAGCAGUGGGGAAUAUUGGACAAUGGGCGCAAGCCUGAUCCAGCCAUACCGCGUGGGUGAAGAAGGCCUUCGGGUUGUAAAGCCCUUUUGUUGGGAAAGAAAAGCAGCAGGUUAAUACCCCGCUGUUCUGACGGUACCCAAAGAAUAAGCACCGGCUAACUUCGUG
rnacentral:rRNA from 1 species